rnacentral:snRNA from 1 species
GGAUGUGAGGGUGAUCUGGCUGCGACAUCUGUCACCCUAUUGAUCGCCAGGGUUGAUUCGGCUGAUCUGGCUGGCUAGGCAGGUGUCCCCUUCCUCCCUCACGGCUCCAUGUGCGUCACUCCUGAAGCUGCUUGGUUGGUUGGCCUAAGAGGACUGCCUUCUCCAAACAGAGACAGACUGGUCUUCCCUCAAGAAAGUAUCUGCGCUCCCCUGCUAGCACCUCCAAACAAGCUCUCAAGGUCCAAAUUUCCACAAAUAGACCUUCCUCCAGAGGAGAGGAGAGGACCUGAAUACUCAUUCCUUCUAAUGACCAGUUUUA